CCUACGGGCGGCUGCAGUGGGGAAUAUUGCACAAUGGGGGAAACCCUGAUGCAGCGACGCCGCGUGAGUGAAGAAGGCUUUCGGUAUGUAAAGCUCUAUCAGCAGGGAAGAAAAUAACGGUACCUGAUUAAGAAGCCCCGGCUAACUACGUGCCAGCAGCCGCGGUAAUACGUAGGGGGCAAGAGUUAUCCGGAUUUACUGGGUGGAAAGGGAGUGUAGACGGCAGCACAAGUCUGGAGUGAAAUGCCGGGGCUUAACCCCGGAACUGCUUUGGAAACUGUGCAGCUAGAGUGCAGGAGAGGUAAGCGGAAUUCCUAGUGUAGCGGUGAAAUGCGUAGAUAUUAGGAGGAACACCAGUGGCGAAGGCGGCUUACUGGACUGUAACUGACGUUGAGGCUCGAAAGCGUGGGGAGCAAACAGGAUUAGAUACCCGAGUAGUC
rnacentral:rRNA from 1 species